rnacentral:lncRNA from 1 species
GUCCUGUAUUUUUUGUUGUUGAAAAUUUCUAUCCUGCCUUUAAAUUUUUCACUCUAUUCUGUCCAGCCUAUUUUUUUCAGUUUAUCCCGACUUUUUUUUUUACAUAAAUUGUCAUCCUGAGUUUUUAUUUUAAUCAAAACUCCUGUCCUAUCUUUUUUCCAAAUUUCAUCCUUGAGCCCAGUCUGCACCGUUAGCCACUAGUACGAUGCCCCAGACUAGUAAAUAUUGAUUCGGACUAGUGAUAAUUUUAUAAAGUCU